rnacentral:rRNA from 1 species
UACGUAUGGUGCAAGCGUUAUCCGGAUUUACUGGGUGUAAAGGGAGCGUAGACGGUUAUGCAAGUCUGAAGUGAAAGCCCAAGGCUCAACCAUGGGACUGCUUUGGAAACUGUAAAACUGGAGUGCAGGAGAGGUAAGCGGAAUUCCUAGUGUAGCGGUGAAAUGCGUAGAUAUUAGGAGGAACACCAGUGGCGAAGGCGGCUUACUGGACUGUAACUGACGUUGAGGCUCGAAGGCGUGGGGAGCAAACAGG